CCUACGGGAGGCUGCAGUGGGGAAUAUUGGACAAUGGGCGCAAGCCUGAUCCAGCAAUGCCGCGUGGGUGAAGACGGCCUGCGGGUUGUAAAGCCCUUUAGGCGGGGAAGAACGGCCGGGCGUGAAUAGCGCGCGGCUCUGACGUUACCCGCAGAAUAAGCACCGGCUAACUCCGUGCCAGCAGCCGCGGUAAUACGGAGGGUGCGAGCGUUAAUCGGAAUUACUGGGCGUAAAGCGUGCGUAGGCGGUUCGGUCAGUCAGCCGUGAAAGCCCCGGGCUCAACCUGGGAACGGCGGUUGAGACGGCCGGACUAGAGUGGGCUAGAGGAUCGUGGAAUUCCCGGUGUAGCGGUGAAAUGCGUAGAGAUCGGGAGGAACACCGAUGGCGAAGGCAGCGGUCUGGGGCCACACUGACGCUGAGGCACGAAAGCGUGGGGAGCAAACAGGAUUAGAUACCCCAGUAGUC
rnacentral:rRNA from 1 species